CCUCACACGCGGCUCUUUGCCCUAAAGGUGGGGAUGGGUGAAGCAAGUGGAACUCAGUGCUUACGGAGGCCCAGUGCUCUGCUUAUUUAGGCCCCUGUGGCUCUGCUCAGAUACGGCCAGUAGUGGUUUUCCCCUGGCUGUGCCCUUCCCCCGCUCAGAUCUAGAGCUGCACCGUCACAUGGAGUGGGCUGGGCUGCACUGUCUCCUCAGCUGAGGCUGAGACACACAACAUAAAGGUCAUUGGAAUUCCAGCUGCCUUCAGAAGUCUGGGCUGCUUCCGGGGCACCACUUGAGUAAGCACCCACAAUGGCCACUAACAUCCCACCUGAGCUAUGCACUGGGCACCCAGGCAGUCUCUGUCCCUAGGUCAAGCAUUCAGCCUGGUCCUGGCCACCCUAGAGCUAAAGCAGAGCUGUGGUAUGGUACAGUGUGGUUUGAGUAGGGCUGUGGUUGGUAUUCACUUGCUUGGAGAGUGUGGUGAGGUGGCAAUCACUAGGGCAGACCCCUUUUCACCUUUCCUGGGGGUGACCUAACACCCCUCAUGGAUGGAGUCUGAGAUUCUCUACCCUUUUUAGAUAGAAAGCACUUUUCCAAGCAGCCACAGAGGCAUGCCUCCCCCACACAGGACCCCAGGACUAGGACACCCAGUCUAUUGUUCAACCUGCUCACUCACCAGGGCAAGUAUCCGCCCAUGUGAUCUCUUUUUCUCUGAGUCCCGUCCCAGGGGCACAGGCACUGACACGACCACUUGUCUGCACAUUAUGCCCGAUUGCAUGUGUAUCUCUGAUACACCCUUGGCUGCAGGAGUUGUUCUGCCAGCUCCCAGUUAGUUCCCCGUGAGAACUCUUCCACGCAUCCCUGUGUUAACACGUUUGUGUCGGGAAGUAAGCUGCGUGUCCUUUUCCUCUACCAUUGGUUUCCCACUGAAGAAGUCUUUAAGUCUUACUCUUUACAAUGUUUCGUCAUCAGUGUUCCACUGAAACAUAUUUAUAAAUGGCCUAUUCUUAGUAUUAAGCUUUGCGUAGCCUUUGUAAUUAAAAUAUUUUGGGACACAGUCUUUUCAAAUUAUAUUACAUUUUUAUGGAAUUGCUUUUCUAUGUACAUAUAAGCUUAUAAAGUUUCACUGCUUACAAAUUUUCAUGGAUUAUAAGAAUAAAUGCUUACUAAAUUCUUCCCAUACUGUGUUUAUUAAAUAUUUAAGAUAAUUUUGCCUCUGAUACUUUUUACCUCCUUUUGUUCUCAAAUCAUAUUUUCCAGAGAGCUAAGGUAUGAAAUUUUAAAAUUUAAUUUGUAAGUUCAGGAUCAGUCAACUUUUUUUUUUUUUUUUUUGAUGAAAGGGUUUUAAGAAAGGGAUAAACCAUGGAUUAAAGCCCCAGGCAAAUGGUUAACCCAGGGAAGUAUUUGGACAGUAUACUGGAUGGAAUGAUAUGCCUUCACCUGUAUACCAGAUUCUCAGUAAGAACAUUAUAAUGUUUGGGAAUGGAUAAUUCUUUAUUUCAGCAUGCUGCUCUGACCACUUUAGGAUAUUUAACAGCAUUCCUGGCCUCUAUCAACUGUAUCCCAGGAUCACUCUCUUCUGCAGCUGAAGCAAUAAAAACAUCUCUAGACCUUGACAAGUAUUCCUUGGAGGGGCAAAACCACUGCCAGUUCUAUAUAUAUAAGAACUUCCAUUUGUCAGAAUUCCAGAAUUGUCAUUUUUUGUAGAGUGAUUUGGUUCUAGAAAUUCUGGCUUAACACCUCUAUUUUGGGCCUUCUACCCAAUGCCACAUCUCAUUUCCAUGAAGGCAUUCCAGAAUAUCAUCUCCAGAACAUUCUGGCUGUCCCACCCUGCAGGCUGGCAACAGUGAAACCCAUGCUGAAAAUCAUGUCCAGGAUAGCAAUCCUGAAACCCAAGCUGAAUAUCCCAGUCCUCAGCCUGCAUACCCUGAAACACAGAUUGGCUAUCUAGUCGUCCAAGCUGGAAAAACAGGAUGUGGCCUAGUUGACAUUCCGGUCCAAUACCAGCAAGUGUCUCUUCAGCCAAAUAUACCUGCAAAGCCACUAUAUAUUAUAAAACUAGUACCUUCACCAGACUGUCCACCAGGGUUACAAUAUUUAAGUCAGGUAAAUCAAAUCCUGAUUCAUCAGCAAAUUGAACUUACAGAAGGUAUGUAUUCCUUGUAUUGAUUAUAUUUCUAGAAAGAGGAGAUAUUUAUGCAGAUUAAGGCAUGUCAUCAACCACAAAUACAACACUUUUAGUGAUGUUGGGCCAUUAAACUGGUUAUUUACAAAAGUC